rnacentral:rRNA from 1 species
CUACGGGUGGCAGCAGUGGGGAAUAUUGCACAAUGGAGGAAACUCUGAUGCAGCAACGCCGCGUGGAGGAUGACACUUUUCGGAGCGUAAACUCCUUUUAUAUAGGAAGAAGAUGACGGUACUAUAUGAAUAAGCGCCGGCUAACUCCGUGCCAGCAGCCGCGGUAAUACGGAGGGCGCAAGCGUUACUCGGAAUCACUGGGCGUAAAGAGCGUGUAGGCGGAUUAAAAAGUCAGAAGUGAAAUCCUAUAGCUUAACUAUAGAACUGCUUCUGAAACUCUUAAUCUAGAAUAUGGGAGAGGUAGAUGGAGUUUCUGGUGUAAGGGUAAAAUCCGUAGAGAUCAGAAGGAAUACCGAUUGCGAAGGCGAUCUACUAGAACAUUAUUGACGCUGAGACGCGAAAGCGUGGGGAGCAAACAGGAUUAGAUACCCGCGUAGUC